AGACAUUACGGGAGGCAGCAGUAGGGAAUAUUGCACAAUGGGCGAAAGCCUGAUGCAGCAACGCCGCGUGCACGAUGAAGGCCUUCGGGUCGUAAAGCGCUUUUCUGGGAGAUGAGAAAGGACAGUAUCCCAGGAAUAAGUCUCGGCUAACUACGUGCCAGCAGCCGCGGUAAAACGUAGGAGGCGAGCGCUAUCCGGAUUCACUGGGCGUAAAGCGCGUGCAGGUGGUUCGGUAAGUUAGGCGUGAAAUCUCCCGGCUCAACUGGGAGAGGUCGUCUAAUACUACCGGACUUGAGAGCAGAAGAGGAAGAUGGAAUUCCCGGUGUAGUGGUGAAAUGCGUAGAUAUCGGGAGGAACACCAGUGGCGAAGGCGAUCUUCUGGUCUGUUUCUGACACUCAGACGCGACAGCUAGGGUAGUAACCACGGGAUUAGAGACCCCGGUAAUCCUAGCCGUAAACGAUGUGAACUUGGCGUUGGUGGGUUAAACUCCAUCAGUGCCGCAGCAAACGCGAUAAGUUCACCGCCUGGGGACUACGGCCGCAAGGUUAAAACUCAAAGGAAUUG
rnacentral:rRNA from 1 species